rnacentral:ncRNA from 1 species
AAUAAACCAAGAGCAAAAAAUUCUCAAUAAAUGAUAUUUAUAGCGAGCAGGUGAUGGUGGAAGUCCUGUAAUUCCUCAGUAUUGAGAUAUCCUUUUGCUGGAUUUUUCCUGAAGGUUAGUAGGGAAAAACGGUUGACUCACGUUACGAGUUACUGAGGGACAGGGGGAAUUCUGUCUAAACUAAGGUGGUACCACGAACUUUCGUCCUUUCU